rnacentral:rRNA from 1 species
UCGCGAAAACUUUACAAUGCUGGCAACAGCGAUAAGGGAACCUCGAGUGCCAGGUUACAAAUCUGGCUGUCGAGAUGCCUAAAAAGCAUUUCAUAGCAAGGGCCGGGCAAGACCGGUGCCAGCCGCCGCGGUAACACCGGCGGCUCGAGUGGUAACCGUUAUUAUUGGGUCUAAAGGGUCUGUAGCCGGCCGGAUAAGUCUCUUGAGAAAUCUGGCAGCUUAACUGUCAGGCUUUCAGGAGAUACUGUCUGGCUCGAGGCCGGGAGAGGUGAGAGGUACUUCAGGGGUAGGGGUGAAAUCUUGUAAUCCUUGAAGGACCACCAGUGGCGAAGGCGUCUCACCAG